UACGUAGGGUGCAAGCGUUGUCCGGAAUUAUUGGGCGUAAAGAGCUCGUAGGCGGUCUGUCGCGUCUGCUGUGAAAACCUAGGGCUUAACCCUGGGCCUGCAGUGGGUACGGGCAGACUAGAGUGCGGUAGGGGGAGACUGGAAUUCCUGGUGUAGCGGUGAAAUGCGCAGAUAUCAGGAGGAACACCGGUGGCGAAGGCGGGUCUCUGGGCCGUAAACUGACGCUGAGGAGCGAAAGCAUGGGUAGCGAACAGG
rnacentral:rRNA from 1 species